UAGAAUUUGGUGUAUUUGGAAGCACAAAGAGUUUUGAAUUCUUGGGAGUAGGUUCAAUUCCUAUAAUUCUAG
rnacentral:tRNA from 1 species